rnacentral:rRNA from 1 species
GAUGAACGCUGGCGGCGUGCCUAAUACAUGCAAGUCGAGCGAACAGAUGAGGAGCUUGCUCCUCUGACGUUAGCGGCGGACGUGGGAGUAACACGUGGAUAACCUACCUAUAAGACUGGGAUAACUUCGGGAAACCGGAGCUAAUACCGGAUAAUAUAUUGAACCGCAUGGUUCAAUAGUAAAAGACGGUUUUGCUGUCACUUAUAGAUGUAUCCGCGCCGCAUUAGCUAGUUGGUAAGGUAACGGCUUACCAAGGCAACGAUGCGUAGCCGACCUGAGAGGGUGAUCGGCCACACUGGAACUGAGACACGGUCCAGACUCCUACGGGAGGCAGCAGUAGGGAAUCUUCCGCAAUGGGCGAAAGCCUGACGGAGCAACGCCGCGUGAGUGAUGAAGGUCUUCGGAUCGUAAAACUCUGUUAUUAGGGAAGAACAAAUGUGUAAGUAACUAUGCACGUCUUGACGGUACCUAAUCAGAAAGCCACGGCUAACUACGUG